GGCCAAAGAUGAAAUAUGUGGAUGCUAUUUCUGUAUGACGUCUCACGUCUGAUUACAAAACCCAUUACUGCCUUCCUUCUGAGGCC
rnacentral:snoRNA from 7 species